rnacentral:lncRNA from 1 species
GCCCAGUACCACUGUAUGCUGAGUGUAUUACUGUAGAGAAAACUGUCUGCUCAGAAGAGUUCGGAGUCAAUGCAAAAGGAAAAAGAAUUUACAGCUUGCAGGUUCUCAAAAGCUGAUCUUGGGAAGACAAAAAGCUUUUCUCAAAGCAAUACUUGCCCAUCCACCUAUUUCAGAGGAACACAACAUCCAACAAGGCUAGUCUUUUGUUGCACUGGUGGCCAGAGUUGGACACAACUGGAAAAGGCUGCAGAGUUUGAAGAGGUAUUCAGCAAACUCCUGCAACACUCGAUCUGGGAGACAUUCAAGUUACACCUGGCACGUUAUCAGAAAGCAGAGAACUGCAGCUUGAAGAUGCUGGAGUCCAUGCUUGCCUUGGACAGCAGGUAGUUUCUCAAUAUGGAUUACUUUUUGCCUUCUAGCCUUUUAAUUUUUUCUCUUUUGAGACCUUAUCCUGAAUGAUAUUACCAAUAUCUAUUUCUCUCUCUCUCUUUUUUUUUUUUUUUUUUUUUUUUUUUAGCAACGGAAACUCAUUUUAACCACUGUGAUUUCUAAUCUCAUUGCAAUUGUAGCAUUCAAGAAUGAAAGGCUCUCAAAUUACAUUAAACUGAUCAGGAGACACUCUGGGAAAUGCUAUAUUUUAAACAUCAGAUAGCAACUUGAGCCGUAAAUUCAGAACAAUGGACUGUACUAACUAGAUAAGGAAGAGAGAGUUAAUUUCAAAUUACAUGAUUUAAAAAGACACUCAGCUGCAGUCUCCCUGUAAUCACCAGACUAGUUCUCCAAGGAUUCAGCUCAGUUAAAACAUCAUUUAUCUGCUGUGAUUCCUGCUGUACUUUAUUUCAAAGAUGCAGGAUUUUCAGAGCAGCUCUGUGACAUUUUUUUUAUUAUCUACCAUCAAUGAUUCAAGAGGGGAAAAGUAUACUAAAAAUUGGGGAUUUGGUGCUCACAUCCUUCACAAAGACAAGAUACUUGCAUCUCUGUUGAUGCAAGGCAAGGGCACAGUGGUAUGAUCACUCUGGGAGAAAAGGUGAACUCUUGCCUCUCUGUGCUGCAGGGAUUUCUAUUUCUGGCUAUGCUUAGAAUUUAUCAGGAAACAUCACCUGGCAUGGGGCAACAUUGAGGAGAUCAUGCUGACUAGGAGAAUGGGUUUGGCUCUGCACUGGCUUUGGCUCAACUGGAAUGCCCUGGAAAGAAACAAAAGUUUAGGGAAAGCAUGCUCUCUAACAGCAAUAACAACAACAACAAAAAAAGAUAAAAAUAUACUCAAAGAUUUAAAACUACCAUGUCUGUCAUCUGAAUAUAUGAAUAGAAACAUAUAAAAUAAUGUGCUUGUACAAAUCCAAAGAAAACACUCCAGCGGUUUGGCUUAGGCUGCAUCCAGGUCGAAAAUGUAUAUAUUUAAAAAUAAUUUUUCACAAAGGUAAAGAAAGAGAUGAAUUCCCACAACAAUACUGAUUCUGAAAUGAAUGAAUUUCGAGUAACUAUCCACUCAUAUAAUAGGCGAUUGAUGGAGAAACGCCUUUGUGACCUUGCUCAAGGCUGAGUUUCCUCAUGAAUGCUCAUUUCACUAUGGUACAAUCUGAAAAACUUCUACAAUCAUUCAAGGCUUUUAAAACUGGAACAAUCUCUGAAACCAGUGUUUGGUGACAGAAAAAGUCACCAGAAGAACCAGAAACAGAAUUGCUCAGGUGGUGGUCAGACUGCUACAGUCAUCCUGAAUUAUGAGACUGCUAUGAUUCACUGUGGAUAUUUGGUCAAAGAGUUUAAAAUUCUACAGAAUGUAUCUGCACAGAUUUCAAGCUCAACGGUGAUUGAUGUGUGACUGGGUUUAACCUGAGGCUAACAUGAAAUUAAAAACAUAGGUAAACAACACUGCAAUUUGAACAGACAGUAGUGCCAAGAAAUAAAUGUUUACUACACAGAAAAGGAAUUUGAAAACAAAAUCUUGUAUUAUAAAGUUAUUGACUAAUCAAGGCUAUUAAAAAAGAUUUCAUACAAGCCACUGUUACUUAAUGUAAUUUUGUGGAGAAGACACAGCGCAUUGAAAGUUCAUAUGGUGGUCAAUGGAAUAUUAAAAUAAUGAAAUUUUGACUCAGCAAGAUAUUUUAAAGCAUAUGACUGGGGCAUGGUAAUGCCAUUAUCUGUUUCAUCAUCUGAUACUAUUGAGGAAAGUAGCAGAGGGUGGAUGAGACACUGAAUAAGGACCUCAGUGGCACUGAAAAAGGGCCAGGGUAUGGAAAUCCAGUCCUUAGUCUUUGCAUUAAGUCAGAAUCCUGAAAAUAACAGUGGAGGGGUGACACUGAAGCUCUAACAUACAAGGAAGGAUGGGAAAUAGAUGAAAGUCCCUAAUUAUUUCCUUAAUGAUUUCAUAGGAAAUUGAUUUUCUAUAAAAGCACUGGAAAACCUGAGGGUACAAGUACAUCUCAUUAGCAAGAACCAUCGAUAAAUGCAUAUAGAAUAAAUAAUAAAUGCUUGAUCCUAUAAGCGGACAUUCAGAAGUCCUGUUUUCCCUUAGGGGAACCAUUAACAAAAAAUUCAAACUGGCAUUACACAUAGAGAAGUUUGUAAACACGCCUGCUGCAGAGACCAAUCCUAUUGAUGGCAUGGCAUUCCCAAGGUGGGACACUUACAAAUGUGUUCCUCCGCAUAUCAAUAUUCAGGAUCACUCCCGUGACCUAAAGGCUUCAUACUAGACAAAGCUGAGACCCAUGAUACUUGGAGCAAGUUUGAUAUUGAAAGUUCCUUCCACAGAAAAUGCCAUUGAAGAGAAAGAUUUUGUCCCAAACUGAUGAGUGUUUAUUGCAAUUGAAAGCAAUCUUUUAAUAUCAAGAAAGAGCUUUUAUGACAGUUUUUUAGAUAACAACCCAGAGUACACAACUGCUAGAGGAAAAUGAUUUCUCCACUAAUUCCUUCUUUACACUCAAUGAUGAUAAGAGAAAACAGAACCAUGAUUCAAAGACCGAGAAAAAAGAAUUUCAUGACAACAACCACAACUCUGCGCCUUCAUGAAGCAGAAGGUUUGGGACAUCCCCUCAUCAUUCUUGUGUUUGUUGGUAAAGCACCAAUGCUGACAGUGCUAUAUUAGUCACUUCUGGUUAGCUUUGUAUUUCGGGCAAGACUUACCAUCUCAUUUACACAUCACCAGCUAGCAUUCACAAAAUAUCUCGCUUUUUCAGUGCACAGGCAAAGUCUGCAGCAAGCAGCAUUGAUCAUUCCAUUAUCACUGUGUUACGCUUAAUUUCCUCUUCAUCUUUCAAGUCAGAGACCAUCUCACACUACAUCAAUAGUGGUGGCAAUGGACAGAUUGAUUAUCCUCCUUUUUGGCAGGCGGGCAUGCUGCAGGUACAUUACAAGACUGUUCUCGUGCUACCCCAGCACAACUGAGUUCCCCUAAACUAGUCAAAGAAUCAAAUUAAACUCAUGGAGAUCUUUAAGCACUCUGAUAUGACUUUGGAACAAGCAAUUAACUGAUGCAGCCAGACAGUUUGACAAAGCACUAGAAAUCUCUGCCAAGAAGUGGGCUCUGCUGCAAGCAUAAACCAGCUUCAACAUCCACCUCAGCAGCUCCUUGCCUCGGUUCUGCCACAGAGAUAACAGGCAGGGCUGUGGUGAUCUCACCAUUUCCUAGUCAUGCAAAGGAGGCAGUGCAACUGCAGGACAGAAAGUCAGGGGCAGAAAUUCAGCAUUCACUACUGUGAGGAAAUGGAGGGAGAGCAGGAAACUAAAUGCAAGAACCUUUGUGAAAUGAAACAACUGCUUCAUCUUCCAAAAGCACAGGACCUUCUGAGAAGGAAUGCUCCUAGAUUUCCUCCUGACUGUAGCAGAGUAAUUUCCUGAUGAAUUCACAUGGUUACCAUGGGCUUUGAUUUAAAGAAUGAAAGAUGCACUCUUCCUUUUCCUUCUCCCUUCCAGUUGCACCAGUGCUUGCCCUUUCCAUCACCCAGCCAGAGCUCCAUUGCCCUGAUGCCCCAGGACAUAGUGCUCAUUGUGACUAUGCCUAUAAGAAAAGUCAUUUUUUUUUAUAUAUAUAAAUGUAUAUCACUAGUCUAUCUGUUCUGAUGGAAAGAUUCUGAAGAACCUUUGAACUUUUGGCCUUCCCAAACAUACCCAGGACAUUAUCAGUCAUUUGAUUUCACAGUUUAUCAGCAGAGUACCUUGCAAGCUGUCCUGCAAAACAGCAGUCCCUCCAUAUGUAACUGUAAGCAGAACAGAAGCUGAACAGCAGGUCAGAAGCACAAUCUGAUGACACUUCUUGCUGUGAAGCUUUUGUCGCCUUACAUUUAGCUGCGCUGCCUGAGGCCCACAGCAGUGGAAGUUUGUUUCCCACAGGACAGGUGUUACCUGUAGAUGCUAAUUGCAAACCUGUACUGCAUUCUGCAAGCCAGAGGCAAGUAAAGGAAAACUGCUCUACCCCAAGAUCAACCAGUUCAAACAAUAAUACACCUCAAGUUUUUUGCCACCAAAAAAACCUUACUUGCAAACUGUCAUGAAGAACUGUCAUUAUUUUAAUUACCAUAAAACACUGGCACCUAAUUAUUGUGGUGGUCCUCAGAUCUAGUACUAGUAAAAAAGCAGUUCCCAAAUUGGUAACAGUAUAUAACCCAUCAUUUACUGCUUUAAGUACUUCUUUUCUGUGCUUCCCUUUUCUUUUUCCUUGCCUACCUCCACACUACAUGUACAAAUUUAAAAAGCAUUUGAGAAAAUUAAUUAAAAAGGAAACUUUUGCCUUUUUUUUUCUUUCUUUCUUUCUUUUUUUUUUUUUUUCUGGCAAGGUCAAUUUAUUAAUUUGCAAUAAUAAUUACAGGUGCUCCUGGUCUACUACUGUUUGUGUUCCCUAGACACUACUGGUACAGAUCUGAAAAGAAGCGAUAACUAAAACAGUCAGCAUGCAUGAUUAACUCUGUGCUAGUUUAAUUUCAGCAGGCUUUGAUUAUAGAAAGUGCAGGAAAACAACAGCUAGCUUGAGAUGAGGUUUAUACCAUAGCAGGCUGAAUAAUGAAAUCACACUGUGCACAACUGACACUUUGAAAAGUACUGAUUCACAAGAAUGUAUCACAUUGUUUCUAAGAACAUUUUCCAGUUUUAAUUUACUAUCAAGAUGUGAUUCUUUCUCACAGUUCCCAUCUUUUAUAUGAGUACGUGUUACUGACCCUGCCCA